CUCUCACUCUCUACCCGCUGGGCGGUACCCCGCAUCUCGCUCUGGCCGCCCCAGAGGUUCGCGGCUUCUGGACCUGCUGUGCCCCUCUCCAGCCUGGAUCAGGACGGAGAACACCCCCGAAACCCACCUCACCAGCACAGCCGGCGGACCCUUCCGGAGGUGGCCGCAGAGACUAGCCAACUUGCGCGCCCGCCGACCCGGACCACAGCUCCCAGCACACCUCAAGGGCCCACGCCCGCCAGGACUACAAUUCCCGGCGUCCUCCGGAAGCUCAAGUGUACCCAGGCGCGGUGCCUGCUGGGAAUUGUAGUUGACGUUGGUCAGCACGGAGGCCACAGGAUCCCAGCCCGGCCUUUGUGGGACUGAGGUGGCGCUGAGUGGGAGAGCAGCAGGCGAUGCGCGAAAGGCGGGACUUGGAGGUUCUGGAUGUUCCUGUGGAUAACCUCAAGGAGCACGGGACCUGGGACAUGACUGCCCCCAGCAUUCCUUCUGGCGGCAGACAGAGUUUGUCAGUUCGCCAACAUCCUGCUUUCAUGAGAACAGUUUGCUGUUUGCUCACAGAGCCUCCAGUGGUAUACUGAGUUGGUCACGACCCUCAUUCCUUCGGCCUCCAACAUCUCCCCUUUUGUUUUUGCAUUAAUUGAAUAAAGGUAAUUUCAGGCUGUGCAGCUUUCAAUUGCCGGUUGGUGGUUCACCCGAUCCUAUAGACUAUGAGCAAAAAAACAGAGACAUAACAACAUUAUUCUUGUAAUUAUUAUAAAAGAGACAUUGAAGUUAUGUUUAAGGUAGGUCCAAGGGUUGAGGCUUUUUUUUUUUUUUUUUUUUUUUUGAGAUGGAGUCUCGCUCUGUCACCCAGGCUGGAGUGCAGUGGCGCCAUCUUGGCUCACUGCAAGCUCUGCCUCCCGGGUUCACGUCAUUCUCCCACCUCAGCCUCCUGAUUAGCUGGGACUACAGGUGCCCGCCACCACACCCAGCUAAUUUUUUUGUAUUUUUAGUAGAGAUGGGGUUUCACUGUUUUAGCCAGGAUGGUCUCGAUCUUCUGACCUCGUGAUCUGCCUGCCUCGGCCUCCCAAAGUGCUGGGAUUAUAGGCGUGAGCCACCGCACCCGGCCAGGGUUGAGGCUUUCUAAGCCCUGCUGGAAUUCUGUUUAAGCUUCUAAAAAGGGCUGUUAUUUUUGAGUUUGCUUAUUCAAGUUAAGAAUUUUACUCUGUAAGUUACUGAUAUCAAAAGUAAUAUUGGAUGUAAAAGCUCCCUGCAAAUGAGCUUUUACAAGGUUCCAUGGAUAUUCACUUUGGUUCUAUUCCAAAUUGGUCACACAAAUAUGAAUAUGAUUGAAAUGACAGUGCAAUUGCUGCUACAAUUGCAAACUUUGUACCUGCUUUCCCAGCCACAGAACAGUAGCCUUUAACAUUGCUACCUUUGUUUGUAAUUCGGUAUUAAUUUUAUUUUGAAGCAUCCAUGCCUGGUUGGCUGUACAUGUCCAAUUUUCUACAUAUUGGGCUGUUUGAAUAGAACUAUGUAGUGCUACUGAGGACACUACAACCGAGGUUAUUAGUGUGACUAAGGAGAUUACAGUAAAAAUUACUAUGUUUAAGGCUUUACGUGCACGAUGAGUGAGCUGGGUAAGAAGGAGUUUUACAAAAUGUAAAGCAGGGGUGGCAGCCCAAGGUUUGCACAAAUUGACAGGGAUCCAUAAUCCAGGGAUACGACCCAGAAUUAUUAGAGUGGAUAUGUUGUGUGUUUGUAUUGUGCUAUGAUUGAGGCAGUGAUACAGUUGACAAGAGUCACAAGUCAACUGGGUGAUGUUUACGUGGAGUUGGUCCUUCUUAGAUGCUAGAAAAACAUAGGGAUUAAAAACACAAACUGGCCGGGCAUGGUGGCUCACGCCUGUAAUCCCAGCACUUUGGGAAGCCAAGGCGGGUGGAUCACGAGGUCAGGAAUUCAAGAGCAGCCUGGCCAAGAAGGUGAAAUCCCGUUUCUAUUAAAAAUACAAAAAACAAAAAAUAGCCUGGCACGGUGGCGGGUGCCUGUAAUCCCAGCUACUCGGGAGGCUGAGGCAGACAAUUGCUUGAACCCGGGAGGCAAAGGUUGCAGUGACCCGAGAUUGCGCCACUGCACUCCAGCCUGGGCGACAGAGUGAGACUCCAUCUCAAACAGUUAACAACAACAACAAAAAACCCACAAACCGUAAAUUGAGUGGUAAUAUUUUUUACAAAGGUGAUAUUAAAACUGUGUUGAGUAAUAUUACUAUUGUUGGAUAAUGUUCUGACCCAGAUGCUGUUAUUCAUAAAUGGGAGUGUUGCCUUCCAUAUCGAUUCCUGAAUUGGGCCUCUGUUUCCUAGAUGACGUCACUGAGGUAAGGGCGGGUUAAAGCCUGUCCUAUACCAAGCAAGUUGUGCAGCCAACUGGGGGACUGAAUCCCAGUGUGAUGUGAUGAAGAGGUGUUGAAGGUCCACCACCAGUGCCAGUGAAGUUUGUGCCAAGAGAUUCCGCUGGCUCAUGGCUCGUACUGGAGGUAACAGGCCCACGGUUGAAUACCAUGGAUCCCUCCGGUCUCCCGUUCCAUGGUCACACACACCUGGAGGGCACCCACACGGUUUGUCCAUCUCCUGUAAAAACACAAGCAUACCCUCGUCCCCACGUCAGCAAAUCCACCGGACCUUUCCAUUGUCCUUCUUCUGGGGAUUUCCAUAACACUUUUGGAUAAACUUGCCUCUUUUCCUCUAGCAGUUGCCAGUGUCGUUCUGCUGGGGUCUUGCCAUCCGUACCAGGAGUCAAACAAUUUAAAGUAAACAAGGCUAAAUGUAAUUUUGUUUGAAGUGGUAAUUGGUCCCCUAUUCUCCCUUUUUGUUUUUUCAGCAUGCGUUGUAGUGUUUGAUGUACCCGCUCAAUAAUGCCUGGCCCUCAGGGAUUGUAUGGAAUUCCUGUUUUAUGAUUGAUUGCCCACAAUUGUAAAAAAUUGGGAAAGCAUGACUAACAUAAGCGAGUCCACUGUCAGUUUUAAAUUGUUUAGGGACCCCCAUAUGGGCAAAUGACGACAGACAGUAUCGUCAGACAUGACCAGCUGUUUCCCCAGUUUGGCAUGUGGCAUGUAACAUAUGGGAGUAAGUGUCUAUAUUACAUGAACAUAGCGGAGUUAGCCAAAGGCUGCUAUAUAUAUGUAACAUCCAUCUGCCAGAUUUCAUUUGGAGCCAAGCCUCGUGGGUUGCAUCCUUCCACAGGUGCAACACCAGGGACAUGCUGGCAAGUGGGGCAGGCUUGCACAAUAACUCAAGCCUGGCUGCGAGGCAGAUGAAACAUACGAGUAAGGGCAAGUUGUUCUGAUGCAGUAAAGCAUGGGAAGCUUGGGCUUGUUGAAAUAUAGAACUGAUGAAUUUAUCUGCUCUAUCAUUACCUAGAGAUAGUGGCCCCAGGAAGUUGUGUGUGAGAUCGGAUAUGAGAAAUAUGAAAAGGGGCAGCAUGAGAGCGAACAGCUUUUUGGAGUCUCAGAAAUAGGUUAAGCAGUUCUGGUUUUAAGGUGCUCUUGUGUGGGCGGCAAGCCAUCCAGGCGCCGAAGCAAGAGACAGAGGACACGGGCUGUUCCAGUAUAAUAAAAUAUAAAACAAGAAUAGUUAUACCAGAUAUAGAUCUUAGAUAUGAUUAUAUAUGAAUAUCAUUAAUCAUUAGUUUGUAGCAAUUACUUUUUAUUCCAAUAUUACAAUAAUCCUUGCUCUAUAAUCAUAGCCUAGGAAAAACCAGGCCAUACAGAGAUAGGAGCUGAGGGGACAUAGUGAGGUGUGACCAGAAGACAAGAGUGCGAGCCUUCUGUUAUGCCCAGACAGGGCCACCAGAGGGCUCCUUGGUCUAGUGGUGACGCCAGCGUUUGGGAAGACCGUGGUCUAGCGGUAGCGAAAAGUGUCAAGGAACAACACCCGCUACUUAGCAGACCGGGAAAGGGUGGGGGGCGGUCUCCCUUUCCCUGGGGGAGGUUAGAGAAGACUCUGCUCCUCCACCUCUUGUGGAGGGCCUGACAUUAGUCAGGCUCGCCCACAGUUAUCCGGAGGCCUAACCGUCUCCCUGUGAUUCUGUGCUUCAGUGGUCACGCUCCUAGUCCGCCUUCAUGUUCCAUCCUGUACACCUGGCUCUGCCUUCUAGAUAGCAGUAGUAAAUUAGUGAAAGUACUAAUAGUCCCUGAUAUGCAGAAAUAAUGGCGUAAGCUGUCUUUCUCUCUGUCUCCUCUCCCUCUCUGCCUCGGCUGCCAGGCAGGGAAGGGCCCCCUGACCAGUGGACACAUGACCCACGUGACCUUACCUAUCAUUGGAGAUGACUCACACUCUUUACCCUGCCCCUUUUGCUUUGUAUCCAAUAAAUAAGAGCGCAGCCAGACAUUCGGGGCCACUACCGGUCUCCGCGCAUUGGUGGUAGUGGUCCCCCAGGCCCAGCUGCCUUUUAUCUCUUUGUCUUGUGUCUUUAUUUCUACACUCUCUCGUCGCCGCACACAGGGAGAGACCCACCGACCCUGUGGGGCUGGUCCGUACACUCUUGAUAGUGGCAGUUUUAAUGCAACUAGCUACAUUUACGACAUAGGCUGAAUUACAGACAAUAUUAAUAGGAAAUAAAGCUGUGAGCUUUAAAACUUGAAUAACUGCCAUUAAUUCAGAGUGUUGAGCUGAAACUCUAGGGGUCUUUAUUAUUUAAGUAUAUUUAGGUCCAUAAAUGGCUGUGUGGCUUUUGGAAGAGCCAUCGGUAAAAUAGGUCUGUCCACCUGAAAUGGGUUUGUGAUGAGCAAUCACAGGGGGAAUAAAAGGGUGAAUUUUAUAAAACUGCAAAAUUUUGUCUGAUGGAUAAUGGUUAUCUAUUAUUUCUACAAAAUCUGCGAAAGUGAUUUGCCAUGCAGUGGACAUCUCCCAGGCCGCAGCCUGUUGUUGGGAAUCCAAGGUAACAAUAAUUUUAUCAGGAUCAUAUCCUGUAAGCAUUUUUGAUCUAUGCCUGCCUAUUGUUAUAAGUUGUGUGACUAAAGCAAGAUAAACUUGCAAAGAUUUUACUGUUUGACUGGAUAAAAAAAGCCAUUCUAUUACCAUUAUAGUUUUGUCUAUGAAUUGAGCUAAAAGUCCUGAUGGAGAAUGGGGGGUAGGAAGAAUAAACAAAACCAAAGACUUUUGUGGUUGUAGCCAGGAGGCAUGUCGUUGCUGAAGCAUCUUUCUACAAGCUGUAAUUCAGCUUCUGCCUCCUUAGUAAGUUGCCGAGGGGAAUCUAAUGAAGAAUCUCCUUGGAGGGUUUGAUAAACAUGAGUGAGUUGAUAAGAAGCAAUACCUAGCAUUGGGCGCAGCCAAUUAAUAUCCCCUAAGUUAUUCAGAGUUUGUAAUUUGUUCUUACGAAGAGCUACUUUCUGAGGCUGAAUACUUUUUUCAGUAACAGUAGUAUCUAAGUAUUGGUAUGAGGAGGUUGUUUGUACCUUUUCAGGAGCUAUUUUGAGAUUCCAUUUAGUUAAAGCCCAUUUUAUUUCUCUGAAUAACUGGUAUAAUACUUGAUCUGUAGGAGUGGCCAAAACAAUAUUAUCCAUAUAAUGAAUGAUGUAGGUGGUGGAAAACAUAUUCCGAGGCUCCUUCAAUGCUUUUCCUACAAAAUGCUGACAUAACGUAGGACUGUUGAGCAUGCCUGGGGUAAUAAAACUUUUCAUUGAUCACAAGAGACAGGCUCUCUCUGAUUAAUAGAAGGCACAGAGAAGGCGAAUUGAGGCUUGUCCUUCUUGUGUAAUGGUAUAGUGAAAAAACAGUCUUUAAGAUCUAUUACUACAAGAGGCUAAUCUCUUGGAAUGGUUGCCGGGGAUGGCAGACCUUGCUGUAAUGCACCCACUGGUUUAAUUUGUGCAUUAACAGCUCUCAAAUUAUGCAGCAGUUGCCAUUUUCCUGACGUUUUGGGGGUCACAAAUACUGGUGAAUUCCAAGCACUAACUGAUACUUUUAUAUGUCCUGCAUCCAAUUGCUUUCUUACCAGCUGAUGGAGUUGAGUCAGUUUUCUCCUGUGAUAGGGGCCAUUGAUCCACCCACACAGGUUUAUCAGUCAGCCACUCUAGCAGCAAGGCAGUGGGUGGAGAAGAAGUAUCAAUGACCCCUAUCAGAAAUCCUGAUGACCUAGCCCUUUCCUAUCUGUUUGCCCAGUUACCGAUACCGGACCGGGGUUUCCCUGUAGGAACUUUCCCAAGCCUUUCCCACUCUGAUAUCCCAUUUCCUUCAAUAUUUUAAAUCCUGGAUUAUCAACCUUUUCAUUUGUAAGUCUCACAUCCCAUGCUGUAAGUAAAUCUCAGCCCCAGAGAUUAACACGUAUAUUUGCAACAUAAGGUUGAAAAGUACAUGGCUGUCCAUCUGGACUGACACAAAGUAAAAUUUCAGCACUCUGUUAAACACUUUGAGCUGUUCCUACUCCCACUAAGGAUGCAGAGGUUAGUAGCAGGGGCCAAUUGUUUUUGGAUAUUACUGAAACAUCUGCUCCUGUGUCCAUACACCCACAACACUUCUUUCCUUUAAUUUGCACUGCACAGGUGGGUCAAUUAGAAGCUAUGGGUUGGGAUAGGUAAAUUUCCUGUGUAGUUGUACUCCCAAAUUCUUGAUUUCCUCUUUUCUCCUUUCGUGAAGAAGGGUGUAAUUUGCAGAGAAUAAUAAUAAGCAAUAGCUGAGCAAUAUAUUUCCCAGGUUUAAAAACCCAAAGAUCUUGUGACAUUACAAUUACUUGAAUUUCUCCUUCAUAAUCAGAGUCAACAAUCCAGGGAUCACAGUAAUGCCCUGUAAGUUCAGAUGGCUUUGGCCUAAAAUUAAUCCUGUAUAUCCUGUUGGCAAAGGUUCCCAAAUGCCUGUGGGAAUUCUGGUGGGUUUGUCUCCUCCAACUAACGUGACCCAUUCUCUGACUGAGCGAUCUAAUCCUGCACUCCCCGGUGUUCCAGAGGAGAGGGAGUCAAUGUUCCUCCAGGAACCCACCCCUGUAGCAGGGUUGUGGCCUGGAUGGGGAAUGCCCUCAUUGUUUGAGGGGCCCAGGCCCCAUUCUCAUUUCCUGAGAGCGGGGUGCCAUUCUGAUGAAAUUUUGAGCAACACUGAUUAGCCCAAUGAUUUCCUUUAUUACGGCGAGGGCAAAGUCCUGGUGUUUUUUUUUCUGUGUGUGUGUGUUGGGGGGAGCGGGGCGGGGAGGGGGGGGCGGUAUUGCAUUGUAAGAUCCCUUCUGCCCAGAGGUCUGAUGGUAUUCUUUUUUGAAAUGUCCAAUUUUUCCACAAUUAUAACAUUUUCCCACUUUAGGGCUCAACCCUUGGCCCUUUUCAGAUUUGUUCACUACUAAAUUAGCUAUUACUUGAGCUAACACAGUUGAACGAUGGAGUUCAGUUCCCACAUCCUGACAGGCUUUGAGAAAAUUUCCCAAGCUGUUUGUACAUCUCACGGGUGCUAAUGCACAUUUACAAUCUGCAUUUGCAUUUUCAAAAGCUAGGGUCAAAGUAAGCAUUUUCGCAGGAGCAGUAUGAGGAAUCUGAUGCCUCACUGACUGUUGUAACUGUGCAAUAAAUUGUGCAAAGGGCUCCUGUGAUUUUUGCAUGAUAUGCGGAAAAGAUUUUAUUGAGACCCCUUUCUCAGGAAUGGUGGCCCAGGCACGCUUAGCGGCCAGGCGCACUGAUGGUAAGCAGCAUCUGGAAGUGUCAAUUGUUGCACCAGAUCUGAAUAAGAGUCACUACCCAAUAGCAUUUCCUCUGUAAUGUUCCCAUGUCCAGCGGUGAGAUUCUGUCUAGCCUGGUCUGCACACAUUUCUUGCCAAUUUAAAUUCCAUGUCAAAUAUGCACUAGCAGAGAAACAAGUGCAAGCUAAAUGCUUUAUAUCCAAGGGUGGGAGGCGCAUAGUGCUGAAUACAGAUUCUAACAAUCCUAAAGUAAAUGGGCUCUGUAUUCCAUUAUUAACCACACUAGCUUUUAAUUCUUUCAAUAAUUUAAAUUUUACUGGAGUGUGUUCAUGAAUAAACUGCUGUGGAUUAUUUGGAUCAGGCCUUAAGGUAAUAGGAAAAGUGCAAGGUCCUAGUGGCUCGCCAGCUAUGGCCACAGCAUGUAGAAUUUUUUGUACUGGGGUCUCUAUUUCUGCUACUGGAGGGGACAGUACAGGCCAGUUCUCAUCCUCCCUCUCCUGUUUAUCAUUUUCAAUGGGCGCUGCUGGUGAGACAAAAGAUUCUUUCAAUUUUUGAGAUUCAGAACAUAGCACCUGCUGUCUGGCAGAAUAAGAAGAGGACAAUGGCAGGAGGACAGUACAGACCAAACCCCAAGCAGAGAAAAUAGAAGGAUCCACUUUAAGAACUUUCUGAUGAGCUCGUUUCAAUCUUUCUCCUACUCAGUCUCAAUUUUCCACAGCAAGAGUACCUGUCUGCAGAAACCAUGGGUUAUGUGUAAUAACCUCCUGCAGAAGCUUAAUGUUUGAGAACUAACCCGAGCACCAGAUUGUUUAAGUAAAACUUUAAGCAGCUGCACAUAAUGUUGCUCCUCAACAGACAGAUUCUGCCCCAUGUUACCCUGAUUCAGAAACCUCCCGCUCCCGAUACCUUCUCAGGGAACUGACCUUAUAUUCUCCGCCGGCAGACUCUCCCGUCCAGGGGUUCGUAGUUCGUCUGAUCAGUUUCACUUUCUCUGCUCUGGCAGACCUUCCUCGUUCAGGUCCCUGGUCGGGCACCACUUGUCACGGUUGCUUCUGGACCAAACGAAGGAGAACGAAGGCAGAAAUGAAGACAAAGACAAAAGGAUCUGUUUGAAAGAAGGGGUCAGGGGGCUCCUAGAUUCUAGGGAACAGGGCCCUGAGCUUUUACAGCCCUUCAUA
rnacentral:lncRNA from 10 species